rnacentral:rRNA from 1 species
ACGUAGGGGGCGAGCGUUGUCCGGAAUUACUGGGCGUAAAGGGCGUGUAGGCGGCCUUGCAAGUCUGGGGUGAAAGCCCACGGCUCAACCGUGGGACUGCCUUGGAAACUGCAGGGCUUGAGGGCAGGAGAGGAGAGCGGAAUUCCCGGUGGAGCGGUGGAAUGCGUAGAGAUCGGGAGGAACACCAGUGGCGAAGGCGGCUCUCUGGCCUGUCCCCUGACGCUGAGGCGCGAAAGCGUGGGGAGCAAACGGGA